GUGAGGAAUAUUGCGCAAUGGGCGAAAGCCUGACGCAGCAACGCCGCGUGAGCGAUGAAGGCCUUCGGGUCGUAAAGCUCUUUUCCCGAGGAAGAGGUAGGACGGUACUCGGGGAAUAAGUCACGGCUAACUACGUGCCAGCAGCCGCGGUAAAACGUAGGUGGCAAGCGUUAUCCGGAUUCACUGGGCGUAAAGGGCACGCAGGUGGUCUGGUAGGUAGGGCAUAAAAACUUUCGGCUUAACCGGGAGAGGCUGUCCUAUACCGCCGGACUAGAGGACGGGAGAGGGGAGUGGAAUUGCCGGUGUAGUGGUGAAAUGCGUAGAGAUCGGCAGGAACACCAGUGGCGAAAGCGGCUCCCUGGCCCGGACCUGACACUCAUGUGCGAAAGCUAGGGGAGCGAACGGGAUUAGAAACCCUGGUAGUCC
rnacentral:rRNA from 1 species